UAGUUGAGCGUAUAUACGGUGUGGAG
rnacentral:sRNA from 1 species